rnacentral:lncRNA from 1 species
GGAUUGGCCGAGAAUUGAGUGGUCUUAUAAAAUAUUUUGCUGAUUUAAAA